rnacentral:misc_RNA from 1 species
GUGAAUCAUCGAAUCUUUGAACGCACCUUGCGCCCUACGGGGCAUGCCGAUUUGAGCGCCUUAACAUCCUCGGCUAACCGCUCUGGCGGUUACCCGGACUUGAGCACUGCCGUUGUUGGCUUGCUCUGAAAGCAUGAGCGACUUGAAAGCUUGUAGCAACGUAAUAAGCAUUCCGUUGUGUCAAGUCGAGAGACGCUUCCAAUCGUCUUCGGAUACUUCUAAUGCUAGGCAUCAAAAUGGUAGGGCUACCCGCUGAACUUAAGCAUAUCAAUAAGCGGAGGA